rnacentral:rRNA from 1 species
UACGUAGGGCGCAAGCGUUAUCCGGAAUUAUUGGGCGUAAAGAGCUCGUAGGCGGUCUGUCGCGUCGGCUGUGAAAACCCGGGGCUCAACCCCGGGCCUGCAGUCGAUACGGGCAGACUAGAGUGCGGUAGGGGAGACUGGAAUUCCUGGUGUAGCGGUGAAAUGCGCAGAUAUCAGGAGGAACACCGGUGGCGAAGGCGGGUCUCUGGGCCGUAACUGACGCUGAGGCGCGAAAGCGUGGGGAGCAAACAGG